CGUAGGGUGCGAGCGUUGUCCGGAAUUAUUGGGCGUAAAGGGCUCGUAGGCGGUUUGUCACGUCGGGAGUGAAAACUCAGGGCUUAACCCUGAGCCUGCUUCCGAUACGGGCAGACUAGAGGUAUGCAGGGGAGAACGGAAUUCCUGGUGUAGCGGUGAAAUGCGCAGAUAUCAGGAGGAACACCGGUGGCGAAGGCGGUUCUCUGGGCAUUACCUGACGCUGAGGAGCGAAAGUGUGGGGAGCGAACAGGAUU
rnacentral:rRNA from 1 species